UCAGCAGCUGCAGGGUCCGCUGCAAGCUGUGCUUCUCAAGUUCUGGUGCUGUCUAUUCUCAGAAGCUGUGCUCUUGAGGACCAAAGAAGACCACAUGCCCAGGAACUCCCACUAUCCGACUCACUCUAUCCCAAAUUUUCAGGAGCUGCUCUGCCAAAAAAAAAAAAGAAAAAAGGAAAGAUUGCUCCGCCAGCCCUCGGGCACUCUGGUGUGGGCCACACUCCUGGGGCACUGUGGUACGCUCUUGCAGCUUCUGAGGAUGGAACCCAGGGCAUGGCAUACGCCAAGCACCUACACCACCACUGGGCCACAAGCCUAUGCUGAAGGACUCUGCAGCCCGGUCUGUCCACACCCUGCUGCUACGUAGCCAUGGAGGUCUGCAAAGGGUAUGGCAUGGCCAUGCUCCAGUAAAACUGUUCACAAACAGGUGCUGGUAGAGGGCCUUAGUGUGCCGACUCGUUUUAAACGGAAUGCAGUCCAAGAUCAUUAUAAAACCCCAAAUCUAGAAAAGUCCUGAUUUUACUGAACACUGGAAAUAAAUGACCUGAACAUCUAAAAUAGAGAUCUAACACAA